GACGAACGCUGGCGGCGUGCCUAAUACAUGCAAGUCGAACGCAGAGGGGACGGGUGAGUAACCCGUGGGUCACCUCCCCUCAGAGGGGAUAACACUUGGAAACAGGUACUAAACCGAUACUGAUGGAUGGACCCGCGGUGCAGUAGCUCGUUGGUGAGGUAACGGCUCACCAAGGCAACGAUGCAUAGCCGAGCUGAGAGGGUGAGCGGCCACACUGGGACUGAGAUACGGCCCAGACUCCUACGGGAGGCAGGAGUAGGGAAUCGUCUGCAAUGGACGAAAGGCUGACCGAGCAACGCCGCGUGAGUGAAGAAGGUUUGCGGAUCGUAAAACUCUGUUGUUAGAGAAGCGGUAUCUAACCAGAAAGCCACGGCUAACUACGUGCCAGCCGCCGCGGUAAUUC
rnacentral:rRNA from 1 species